rnacentral:rRNA from 1 species
UACAGAGGUCCCAAGCGUUGUUCGGAUUCACUGGGCGUAAAGGGUGCGUAGGUGGUAAGGUAAGUCGGAUGUGAAAGCUCCGAGCUCAACUCGGAAAUGGCAUUGGAAACUACCUUGCUAGAGGGUUUGAGGGGGGACUGGAAUACUUGGUGUAGCAGUGAAAUGCGUAGAUAUCAAGUGGAACACCAGUGGCGAAGGCGAGUCCCUGGAAAACUCCUGACACUGAGGCACGAAAGCUAGGGGAGCAAACAGGAUUAGAAACCCCCGUAGUCC